CGGUGGUCCGCUCCUCCGCUUCGCCGCCUUCUUCUCCGACGAGGAGGCCGUCAUCACCGCGGGCGGCGGUUGCAUUGCUGCGGGGCCCUCGGCGCCGCCGCCGAUUUCGAUGGAGGACGGUGCCGAACCCAAGGUUCUGGAUGGUCAAGUAAAGAAGGUGGUGGUUAGCGUGAGUCUGUCAUCUCUGUGACGAACUACUUACUGUCUGCGAGGGAGUGGAAGAAAAUUUACCUCUGAGAAGUUAUGGGCUUGGGUCUCGGCCAUAACCUUAUUUUGGGCUUCGUUGGGCUCAUGUCCAUCCUGUAUGCCCCCCCAAAAGAAGUCCAUCCAAUAUGAUACCACAUGUUUCUCAAAAUUGUCUAAAAAAACAUGUUCCUCAAAAAAAAUAAAAAAUAUCUUACCACAUGUGUUGUUAGAAGCAAAGUAAGCAGCCUCGAUACCUAGCCGCCACCGCCUCUAAAAAGAAGCCUAGGAUUCCUCUGCCUCCUGUUAGCACCGUCGUCGGUCCGCCUCAUCUCCGAUGGCCCUAGGGGCCAUGGAGGCAUGAUGUUUCCGGCCCUUAUCGGCGGGAGGGCUCCGUUUUAAAUGUUUUUCUGAGUUUUGUUAGGAUUUGUGUCCGGCUCAGGAAGACGGUGGCUGCUUCCUGAAGAUGGAAUGAUGUUCUCCUCGCCUAGCCCAUCUCAAUGGUGCAUCUAGCAUCAUCGAAGGACGUGUGGAGGUGUGUCUCUGGAGAAUCUCGCGGGAUUCAGUCGGUGGUUGUCUUUGGUGGAUCUACUCGGAUUCGAUCUUCGUUUGUCUACGUUCUUUUGUUUUCAGGUUUGAUCUUUCCGAUCUACGUGUUUCUUCAUCGGUGGCGGUUGUUAUUCUGGUGCGUUGGUCCUAUGGGCCUUAGCACGACGAUUUCCCAACUGUCUACUACAACAAAUUUUCCUGGCUCCGGUGAGGGAGGGCAAUGACGGUGGCGUGCCUUCAGCUCACUUCAGUGCUUGUAGUCGUCGCUAGGUUGCCUACGAAUCUGGAUGUAAUUUUUAAUUUUUUAUGUUCGUUGUCCUAUCAUGAUUGAAGAUGAAUAAGUUUUAAGUUUUCUCGAAAAAAAAGAGAAGCAAAGUAAGCAAGGACAAUUAAUAUGGAUAAUAUUUUUUUUCUGGCAACAAACAUUGUUAAAUCUUCUACGUAUGUGCAAAUUUUCUUAAAGAAAAACCUUUCCUAAUGCUUUGGGCAAAUAAAAUAAAAUAAAUGCUCCCAAAAGACUAUUUUUGAAAGAUAUUUGGAGUAUUGAUUUUGUUAUUUUUGUCCAGAACUCCACAAAUGUGAUUUUAUCACGAAAUUUUGCACGGGAAAGAAAACUAAGCAAUGUUUGUUGUAAAAAUAAUUAUGUUUUUUGAAUUUUGUUUAUGUUUUUCUCAGGAUUAGACAGGCACUUUCGAGUACAAUUAUGA